rnacentral:rRNA from 1 species
UUACACCGCGGUAAUUUGACCGUGCGAAGGUAGCAUAGUCAGUAGUCUUUUAAUUGAAGGCUUGAAUGAAAGGUUGGACGAGGGAUGAGCUGUCUCCUUUACGUAAUUUGAAUUUAACUUUUGAGUGAAAAGGCUCAAAUUAUUUAGUGGGACGAUAAGACCCUAUAAAACUUUAUAUAAGUUUAAUUUGGCUUACAAUUUGAGUGAAAAGUAGCUUUAUUAGGCUUAUAUUUCGUUGGGGAGAUGUAGAUAUAAUGUGUAACUGUCUGUUUAAUUUAAUAAUUAUAAUUAGUGUGUGAUCCUUCUUUGUGGAUUAAAAGUAUAAGUUACUUUAGGGAUAACAGCGUGAUUUUCUUUGAGAGUUCUUAUCGACAAGAGUAGUUGCGACCUCGAUGUUGAAUUAAAAUUUCAGUUAGGUGUAGCCGUCUAGCUGGUAGGUCUGUUCGACCUUUAAAAUUUUACAUGAUUUGAGUUCAAACCGGUGUGAGCCAGGUUGGUUUCUAUCUAA